UACAGAGGGUGCGAGCGUUGUCCGGAUUUAUUGGGCGUAAAGAGCGUGUAGGCGGCCAGGUAGGUCUGCUGUGAAAACUCGAGGCUCAACCUCGAGACGUCGGCGGAAACCAUCUGGCUAGAGUCCGGAAGAGGAGAGUGGAAUUCCUGGUGUAGCGGUGAAAUGCGCAGAUAUCAGGAAGAACACCCGUGGCGAAGGCGGUUCUCUGGGACGGUACUGACGCUGAGACGCGAAAGCGUGGGGAGCGAACAGG
rnacentral:rRNA from 1 species